rnacentral:rRNA from 1 species
UGAGCUUGAUCCUGGCUCAGGACGAACGCUGGCGGCGUGCCUAAUACAUGCAAGUCGAGCGCAGGAAGCCGGCGGAUCCCUUCGGGGUGAAGCCGGUGGAAUGAGCGGCGGACGGGUGAGUAACACGUGGGCAACCUACCUUGUAGACUGGGAUAACUCCGGGAAACCGGGGCUAAUACCGGAUGAUCAUUUGGAUCGCAUGAUCCGAAUGUAAAAGUGGGGAUUUAUCCUCACACUGCAAGAUGGGCCCGCGGCGCAUUAGCUAGUUGGUAAGGUAAUGGCUUACCAAGGCGACGAUGCGUAGCCGACCUGAGAGGGUGAUCGGCCACACUGGAACUGAGACACGGUCCAGACUCCUACGGGAGGCAGCAGUAGGGAAUCAUCCGCAAUGGGCGAAAGCCUGACGGUGCAACGCCGCGUGAACGAUGAAGGUUUUCGGAUCGUAAAGUUCUGUUAUGAGGGAAGAACAAGUGCCGUUCGAAUAGGUCGGCACCUUGACGGUACCUCACGAGAAAGCCCCGGCUAACUACGUGCCAGCAGCCCGCUUU